rnacentral:lncRNA from 1 species
AUACAUGAACAGGCAAUGAGAGAACAUAAUGAAGAAAAAAUCAAGAAAAAGAGAACCAUUGCUCUCAAGUCAAUCGCAUAAGAAGAAGAAGAGUCCGAUUAAUCCAAAGAUCAUGACAAAAAUAAGAAGAUAGAUCUCAUUAUCUAAAAAUUUAGAAGAUUCAUAAAGAAAAAGAAGAUGAGGGAUGAGAGGAAAGCCACUAGCUAAGAGAG